AAAGCAAAUCGGACUGACGGUCUACCGAGCAAUAUCGCCUGCUUGGUGAAAGAUUUUCCCUCCGUCGC
rnacentral:pre_miRNA from 1 species